rnacentral:rRNA from 1 species
AACGAACGCUGGCGGCAUGCCUAACACAUGCAAGUCGAACGAGACCUUCGGGUUUAGUGGCGCACGGGUGCGUAACGCGUGGGAACCUGCCCUUAGGUUCGGAAUAACUCCCCGAAAGGGGUGCUAAUAACGGAUAAUGUCUUCGGACCAAAGAUUUAUCGCCUUUGGAUGGGCCCGCGUUGGAUUAGCUAGUUGGUAGGGUAAAAGCCUACCAAGGCGACGAUCCAUAGCUGGUCUGAGAGGAUGAUCAGCCACACUGGGACUGAGACACGGCCCAGACUCCUACGGGAGGCAGCAGUGGGGAAUAUUGGACAAGGGGCGAAAGCCUGAUCCAGCAAUGCCGCGUGAGUGAUGAAGGCCUUAGGGUUGUAAAGCUCUUUUACCCGGGAUGGUAAUGACAGUACCGGGAGAAUAAGCUCCGGCUAACUCCGUG